AGGGCUUAAAGCAGUGGGAGGUGAUAGAGGUAGGAGACAUCUGUGUCGUGAAGAGGUUAGUGGGGGUCAAGUAUAUGUUAACAAUAGGCGAGCGUGGUCCCUCUCGGGCAGCCUGCCUACUCUUUCUUUCUCUCGCUCGCUUUUACUGGGUGGACAUCUAACUUGCUCCCUAAUGAUGCCUCCCCGGCUUUAAGAGUCCAGACUGCCCUGCAGUAACCCAAGACAAACACUUUCUCUAGCCAUCUGGAGAGCUCCUGGCUGCUCUGCCUGUGUCUCAUCACUGUGUGAAGAGACAGCAGUGCUAGAAAUCAAGCCACUCUCAGAUCUACUCUCUAAUCCCCUUCUGUUAGCUGAUUUCCAGUCAGACUGUUUGCUUUUGCAUUAGAUAAUAGCCUUAGAGAAAACAAUUAUCAUUUUCUUUUUUCCUUUGUUUUUUCCUUUUUCUAAAGUACAGUAUCGAGGAAGUCCUCCCUCUCUUAUUUUAAAAGAAAUUUAUAGUCUUUCAUGGCUUGAAGAACCCAGAUGCAAUUUCACACUUUCUUGGAAGGGGAUUCUGGAUUCUUCUGAAAGCAGCGACAUGAUCACAACUGCAGUGAAAAUUAAUUACUAUCAUCUACAAUUAAUAGAAGCAUGCCACCAUUUGACUUCGUGUUUCAUUACAUAAUCAUUUCGACAAACUGGAAAAGUAGAAGUAAUGAAAAAAUUAUGUCUUACAGAAGAGAGAAGUAUUUUUCCCCUUUCACUGGCAGCUUUCUUUUUGAAAACUUUUAAAGAUGCAAGUUAAGAGGACAUACAGUGACACAGGUUAUAAACUGUGUCUCUAAAUCAUCCAAGAAACCCAAGGAUCUGUGACUUCAAAGUUGCUUUCACCACCUACAGGACAUGGUGCUGCAAAAGGUCCAGCUUACAGCAGCCCCAGCCACUUUCCAAGCAUCUGAACAAGAAAGUGUCACAAAACUUCUGAUUUUAUCCCCAAGGUUUUGGAGCUAGUUACUUGGAACUCUUGUACCCAUAUACUGCUCUUCAACUGAGUAAAUAUCAGAGUUGCUCAUGUUUCUUUUGUAAUAACUUCACUUCUGAAGGGCAAAAUACAAUUCUUAGAAAAAUAUACAGGAAACCUGAAGACUUGUUAAUUACAAGCAAGUAGUCUUAGACUUUGUUUGUCUCUGCCUGCUGGAGCCAUGGAUGGUCACUGAUAAAUGCCUGAGCUAGCAGGGUUAGAUCACUGAAACCUGUGUAGCAAUAGUGCAAAAGCCACGUGUGAUUAGUUUAACACGGCUGGUUUCUGCAGUGAUGCCAGUGCAUCAAAAGGACACCAACUUACACUUUGGUUUGAUGGCCACUUGUACUGACAAGAGUGAUCUCCACAAGUUUCCAGAUGAGCUUAAUGUGAACAGAUUUUACAGUAGGGGAAUUUGUCUGUAUUUCAAAUGUGUGAAUGAUCUCUCUAGUCUAAAGAGUACUGUAUUAAUAAAAUGGGAAUCAUGGGGCUCUCAUUAGACAUUAUCAAGACCAAGAACAUGCUAUAUCAUUCUUUUUGUGCCCAUAUGGUUGCCCAAUAUUGUCUCUCUAUUGGAUUGUGCUUGGUUUUGGCAUCUGAAAGCUAUCUGGAACAAUAAGCUACAGGUUUCCAAUCAUGUCCAUGUAAUUGGAGUAGCACCAUACCAAGACCAUAGCUGCUGGCAUCUGCUGAAACAGCUGUAGACUGAGAAAUAUCAUAAAAUGCCAGAACUGGGAAUGUAGUCAAUAGAGCCUUUAAACUCUCAAAAGCACACUC